rnacentral:rRNA from 1 species
AUUGAACGCUGGCGGCAUGCUUUACACAUGCAAGUCGAACGGUAACAGGUUAAGCUGACGAGUGGCGAACGGGUGAGUAAUGCAUCGGAACGUGCCCGAUCGUGGGGGAUAACGCAGCGAAAGCUGCGCUAAUACCGCAUACGAUCUGAGGAUGAAAGCGGGGGACCGUAAGGCCUCGCGCGAUCGGAGCGGCCGAUGUCAGAUUAGGUAGUUGGUGGGGUAAAGGCUCACCAAGCCAACGAUCUGUAGCUGGUCUGAGAGGACGACCAGCCACACUGGGACGGAGACACGGCCCAGACUCCUACGGGAGGCAGCAGUGGGGAAUUUUGGACAAUGGGCGAAAGCCUGAUCCAGCAAUGCCGCGUGCAGGAAGAAGGCCUUCGGGUUGUAAACUGCUUUUGUACGGAGCGAAAAGGCCCUCUCUAAUACAGGGGGUUUAUGACGGUACCGUAAGAAUAAGCACCGGCUAACUACGUGCCAGCAGCCGCCGUAA